rnacentral:rRNA from 1 species
GAUUAACGCGAAGAACCUUACCAAGGCUUGACAUACACCGGAAACGGCCAGAGAUGGUCGCCCCCUUGUGGGUCGGUGUACAGGUGGUGCAUGGUUGUCGUCAGCUCGUGUCGUGAGAUGUUGGGUUAAGUCCCGCAACGAGCGCAACCCUCGUUUUAUGUUGCCAGCGCGUUAUGGCGGGGACUCAUAGGAGACUGCCGGGGUCAACUCGGAGGAAGGUGGGGAUGACGUCAAAUCAUCAUGCCCCUUAUGUCUUGGGCUUCACGCAUGCUACAAUGGCCGGUACAAAGGGCUGCAAUACCGUAAGGUGGAGCGAAUCCCAAAAAGCCGGUCUCAGUUCGGAUUGAGGUCUGCAACUCGACCUCAUGAAGUCGGAAUCGCUAGUAAUCGUGGAUCAGC